GCACUCCUGAUACUUCCCAUGGUUGAAACAGGAAUGGGUCUCCUGCCAGUGAACCCAAGAGGAUGAAGAAGUUGGUUUACCACCUUGAUCUUAUUUUUUCCAGUAUUUUUCCAACUUGCUACAGUAACGGAACCUUUGGUCCAGAGCCUGGGAUGUUGCCUUUUGCCCACUGGAAUUCCCAUCUUGGAAGAGUAAGCACAGGGGAUUGUCCAGACAGCCAGGAGGCCAGUGAAGCCAAGUGCUUCAGUACAGCCUGGGAGCCUCCAAGAAGCUGUUAGGAGUUGCCGUGAUGGGUGCAUUUGGACUCACAGAAUCUGCCUUCCAAUCUCAGUGCUCCUUCUACUCCUUUGCUACCUUAGAAUCUUAGGUCUUUGAAGACAGGUCCAUACCUUGUGUGUUUGUAUUUGGACAACCACAGACAUUGCCAAGAAAUCUAUCUGUUCUACUUGCACACCUUCACCACCUG